GAUGAACGCUGGCGGCGUGCCUAAUACAUGCAAGUCGAGCGAACGGACGAGAAGCUUGCUUCUCUGAUGUUAGCGGCGGACGGGUGAGUAACACGUGGAUAACCUACCUAUAAGACUGGGAUAACUUCGGGAAACCGGAGCUAAUACCGGUUAAUAUUUUGAACCGCAUGGUUCAAAAGUGAAAGACGGUCUUGCUGUCACUUAUAGAUGGAUCCGCGCUGCAUUAGCUAGUUGGUAAGGUAACGGCUUACCAAGGCAACGAUGCAUAGCCGACCUGAGAGGGUGAUCGGCCACACUGGAACUGAGACACGGUCCAGACUCCUACGGGAGGCAGCAGUAGGGAAUCUUCCGCAAUGGGCGAAGGCCUGACGGAGCAACGCCGCGUGAGUGAUGAAGGUCUUCGGAUCGUAAAACUCUGUUAUUAGGGAAGAACAUAUGUGUAAGUAACUGUGCACAUCUUGACGGUACCUAAUCAGAAAGCCACGGCUAACUACGUG
rnacentral:rRNA from 1 species